ACGACAAUCAGUGUGAUUGCAAGUUUAAUCCACGAAUUUUGUCAUAGUUUUGAUUAAUUGGAAAUAGGACCUUUAAAAUCGACAACAAUCCUCUACGGUUGGCUAAAAAGUAGUAGCUUCGUCUCUGCCGUCCCUAGAGACCAUUAAUUCAACCGAUCUUACCGUGGUAUCCUUCUCGUUUUACUUGAAGGGAAACUUCAAGCAAUAUGGCGAGCUCACUAAAAGAACGUAACAAUAUAGUUGAUAGAGGAUCUCCAGAAGGCUGAUCAUGACCAUCAUUAUAUAGGAUGCUGGAAUUUGGGGUCAAGUUGGUUGUUACAAAGCUUGGAAUAACACCAGGUUCCCGAGGUUCCUGUCUUUGAGGAUAUAAUUUCAAAUCAGCAAUGCUGGGAGGGACACCCUGUUGCCUGUGAGGAAACAAUUCCAAAACAGCAAAAGUAUACUCAGCACCAUAGAAAUGUGUAGCUGAACAGUGCCAAAGAUCACCUGACUGAAUCUGAUUUCACCCUCAGGUGAGUUCUCAGCUUAUUUUUUUUUAUUGCUACCAGAUAAGAACAUGACAGGAACUUUGAUUUCCUUGGAGCCAUUUUCUUUCUUUUAAUCAUUUUUAAAAUUUUUUUGUUUUGCUCAGUUAGGAAUUCUCUCUAGGACAUAAACCUGUUGUUCUGUCCCUUCAUCACCUUAGGGACAUUUGUGACGGGUGACAAAGAGAAAGAAAAACAUUAAAUUCAGGUUUUUGUUUGAUUUCACACUAAAUUCUAAAAGCUUAUAUUACAAGACAUGUAUGGCAGAAGGUAGGGAGA